rnacentral:rRNA from 1 species
CCAGACUCCUACGGGAGGCAGCAGUGGGGACUCCCCCACAAUGGCCCCCCGCCUGAUGCAGCCAUGCCGCGUGUAUCAAGAAGGCCUUCGGGUUGUAAAGCCCUUUCAGCGGGGAGGAAGGCGAUAAGGCUAAUAACCUUGUUGAUUGACGUUACCCGCAGAAGAAGCACCGGCUAACUCCGUGCCAGCAGCCGCGGUAAUACGGAGGGUGCAAGCGUUAAUCGGAAUUACUGGGCGUAAAGCGCACGCAGGCGGUCUGUCAAGUCGGAUGUGAAAUCCCCGGGCUCAACCUGGGAACUGCAUUCGAAACUGGCAGGCUGGAGUCUUGUAGAGGGGGGUAGAAUUCCAGGUGUAGCGGUGAAAUGCGUAGAGAUCUGGAGGAAUACCGGUGGCGAAGGCGGCCCCCUGGACAAAGACUGACGCUCAGGUGCGAAAGCGUGGGGAGCAAACAGGAUUAGAUACCCCAGUA